GCGUGCUUAAUACAUGCAAGUCGAACGGGUUUGGUAGCAAUAUCAAAUCAGUGGCGGACUGGUGAGUAACGCGUGAGCAAUCUGCCUUUAACUGGGGAAUACCCACCAGAAAUGGUGGCUAAUACCGCAUAUGAUCACAACCAGGCAUCUGGAAGGGGUGAAAGAUUUAUCGGUUAAAGAGGAGCUCGCGUCCCAUUAGUUAGUUGGUGAGGUAAUGGCUCACCAAGACAGCGAUGGGUAACCGGCCUGAGAGGGUGAACGGUCACAAUGGAACUGAGAUACGGUCCAUACUCCUACGGGAGGCAGCAGUAGGGAAUAUUGGGCAAUGGAGGCAACUCUGACCCAGCAACGCCGCGUGAAUGAAGAAGGUUUUCGGAUUGUAAAGUUCUUUUCUCAUAGACGAAAAAAAUGACGGUAUAUGAGGAAUAAGCUACGGCAAACUACGUGCCAGCAGCCGCGGUAAUACGUAGGUAGCAAGCGUUGUCCGGAAUGACUGGGCGUAAAGGGUGUGUAGGUGGCGAUUUAAGUUAAAUGUGAAAUCUAGGGGCUUAACCCCUAAACUGCAUUUGAUACUGGGUUGCUUGAGUGCAGGAGAGGUUGGUGGAAUUCCAUGUGUAGCGGUAGAAUGCGUAGAUAUAUGGAGGAACAUCGGUGGCGAAGGCGGCCAACUGGACUGUUACUGACACUGAAACACGAAAGCGUGGGGAGCAAACAGGAUUAGAUACCCUGGUAGUCCACGCCCUAAACGAUGAAUACUAGAUGUUGGCGGUAUCGACUCCGUCAGUAUCGUAGCUAACGCGUUAAGUAUUCCGCCUGAGUAGUACGGCCGCAAGGUUGAAACUCAAAGAAAUUGACGGGGACCCGCACAAGCAGCGGAGCAUGUGGUUUAAUUCGAAGAUACCCGAAAAACCUUACCAAGACUUGACAUCGCCUGAAUAGCCGCGAAAUCGGUGAAUUUAUAGCAAUAUAACAGGUAGACAGAUGGUGCAUGGUUGUCGUCAGCUCGUGUCGUGAGAUGUUCGGUUAAGUCCGAUAACGAGCGCAACCCUUGUCGCUAGUUGCCACCAUUAAGUUGGGCACUCUAACGAAACUGCCGUAGAUAAUACGGAGGAAGGUGGGGAUGACGUCAAAUCAUCAUGCCUCUUACGUCUUGGGCUACACACGUGCUACAAUGGCCACUACAAAGAGUUGCAAUAUAGUAAUAUGGAGCCAAUCUCAAAAAAGUGGUCUCAAUUCGGAUUGAGGGCUGAAACCCGCCCUCAUGAAGUCGGAGUUGCUAGUAAUCCCAAAUCAGCAUGUUGGGGUGAAUGCGUUCCCGGGU
rnacentral:rRNA from 2 species